CUCCGCUUUGGCAACCACAGGUUUCUGCUCAUGUCUGUAAGUCUGUUUCUGUUUUGUAGAUAGGUUCAUUUAUGCCAUAUAAACAUGUGUGUGUGUGUGUGUGUGUGUGUGUGUGUGUAUUUGCCCUUUUUUUUGAGAGCCACACCUGCAGCAUAUGGAAGUUCCCAGGCUAGGGGUUGAAUUGGAGCUGCAGCCGCUGGCCUACACCACAGCCACAGCAACUCAGGAUCUGAGCUGUAUCUGCAACCUACACCACAGCUCGUGGCAGCGCUGGGUCCUUUACCCACUGAAUGAGGCCAGGGAUUAAACCCAUGUCCUCAUAUAUACUAGCUGGGUUCAUAACCCGCUGAGCCACAAUGAGAACUCCCCAUUUAUGCCAUAUUUUAGAUUCCACAUAAAAGUGAUGUCAUAUGGUAUUUGUCUUUCUCUUUCUGACCUACUUCACUUAGUAUGAGAAUCUCUAGUUGCAGAUGUGUUGGUGCAAAUGGAAUUACUUCAUUCUUUCUUAUUGAAGCAGACACUUCUGAUUUAUCAUCUUAAACAACGCUGCCCUCCUGCAGAUAUGCGUUUAGAACGUUUUUCCCUCUGGGGUCCUUUAAAAUGCAGCUCUCCAGACACCAUCCUCAGAGACUUCCAAAUUGGCAGGUCUGGGCAAGGUGCAGGAAUCUGCCCAAGAAUUUUUAAUUGUAGAAAGGUGUGCUUGCUCAAAGUCUAGUAAAUAAGCAUCGAUAUGAAAAACCGAGGUUGCCCAGCCUUUGCCCACAUCCCUGCAGCAAAUAUUUUACCUCUUUGAACUGAUCGUUUAGAUUUUUUUCUCUACAGCUUAAAAUGACAAGCUUGUAUGAUUUCUGCGUGAUUUUUCAGUUUUUAGAUUGCUUAUGGACUUUACAUUGUGCGAAACAAGGAUUUAGUCUCCUCUCUUUCCCUUGCCCCUCACCACACAGAACCCUCUUCCCAUCCUCUGAGUACCAUUCUAUCCUAAUUUUGCCUGGGUCAACAUUCAGUAUUUACGUUGUCAUGACUGUGAAUGUGCUAAUCAUAACUGAACUGAGCUAUGACUAUUUUUCCUUUCCUGCACCAUUUUUUUUUCUGGAGUUUGUUAUCACCUCUUUAGUUUGGUUGCUAGCAUCUCAGCUUCACUAAAUCCUUUACCACUGGUCCAUCACCGUUCCAGCCUCUAAGACUUUCUAGCCAUUGUCCUCUCUCCUGGAGAGAAAAAAAUAUCCCUUUACUAUAGUUCUAGCAGAUUUAGGGGAGGCUGAGAGUGGUUUUUUUUUUUAAGCUUCACCCUUGUCACAUGGAAGUGCCUGGGCCAGGGAUUGACCCCACAUCCCAGCAGUGGCAAUGCUGGAUCCUUAACUCUUAGGCCACCAGGGAACUCCUUGGGAGAAGGCUGUGAAAGUAACUAUAUUUUCUCCCAGUCUGUGGCUUGUCUUUUCACACUUUCUUAAUAGUGUCUUUGAAAGUGCAAAAGUUUUGAAUUUUAAAAAAAGCCAACUUAUCAAUUUUUUCUUUUAUCCUGUCCUAUUGCUGUGUAUGAAAAAAUAUAUAUAUAUAGUUUGUGUGUAUGUAUAUCUUCUAAGUGUGACAGACAGAGAUUGCAUUGGAUGUGGGGGAAAGAAAGGGAAGAAUCAAGGAUGAUUAAAAUGGGAGUUCCUUUUGUGGCUCAGUGCCUAACGAACCCGACUAGGGUCCAUAAGGACGCAGGUUCGAUCCCUGGCCUUGCUCAGUGGGUUAAGGAUCAGGUGUUGGCGUGAGUUGUGGUGUAGAUCGAAGACGCGGCUCGAAUCCCGCGUUGCUGUGUGUGGUGUAGGCUGACAGCUGUAGCUCUCAUUCAACCCCUAGCCUGGGAACUUCCAUACGCCCCGGGUGUGGCCCUAAAAAAAUGAAAAAAAAAAAAAAAAAAAAAGAGUGAUUAAAAUGUAAAAUGUUUUUGGCUGAGCAAGUGGCAGGGUGAUGUUGCCAUCACCUGAGAUGGGGGAAGACUAUAGGAGCAGCAGGUUGAGGGGUCGGGGAACCUCUGUUUUGAACACACUGAGUGUGAAUUUGUCUGUUAGAAAUCCAUGGGGAUAUGCGGAGAGGCAGGUGGAAGCCGGAGCUUGGGGGCACAUUCAGCUCCUGGCUGAGAUGGCUGUGUGAGCCCAGAGAGAGGGGGCGGGGAACCAAGGCUGGGGACUGGACCUUGAGGGACACCUAGCAAGGACAUUCAGGAGUAGUAGCCAGGGAGGAAUCGUCCUCACCUUCAGCUUCCUUGUAUAACUAGGCAUUAGUAGUUAAUUGCCCUUCCCUCCCAGGGCGGGCGAGGCCUCUGGGCGAUGGCUGGCGGAGGCACAUCCCCGAGCCGGCAGGCUUGUGCAACAGGCUUGGCCCCGAAAGGGGAGGCCUUGGACAGCCUCAGGGACAGAGCCUGGCUGAAGACUGUGACUAAGGAGGGUGAGCAUUUCAAGUCCUUGUAAUUGUGCUCUUAAACGGAAAUGUGGCCUCAUUUUACACUCCUGAGCCCUAAAGCCCUCUCAGGGGCUUGGGGCCCAGGGAAGAGAUGCAGGUUUGCUGCAUUUUAGCCUCCAUAAUGGGGCUAAGGGUUGCAGGUCUGUAACUAACCAUGGGAAGUAGUGUCUGUCGGUAGCCCCCUGCCCUCCCAGGCACUCAACCAGCCACGCACCUGCCUCACCCUACUCCCGUCAAAGGGAAGAGAAAUGUCAGCAGAAAAGGACAGUCAUCUCUGCUCAAAUGGUGGCAUUUGGGAGCCUACAGUUAUCAGGGUGGGUGUUGUGCUUAUGGGGUGGAGAUGGCACAAGGGAACCUUUUCAAGUCUUUGCCUUCUGCCUGAGACUGGGUGAGUGCUGUGUCUGUUUCCUGUAAAACAAGUCCUCCCGGGAUAUUAAAUCCAGCUUGAGGAAGAUCUCUCUAUCCAUUAAAUUGGCUCAUUUAAUUCAACAAUGAGCCACAAGGCUUUCGGAGCUGUGAGUGGAGAGGGCGCCCAGUCCAGUGUGGGAGGCAGAGGAGGAAACCAAGUGUUUCAAAGCAGGGAUGUCAUAUGAUGCUGGGGCUCGAGUACUGAGGACUUUGCAGUUGGGAAGAAGGGAGCUGGACCAGUCAGGAGGGGACGGAGGGCUUCCUGGAGGAGGCGGCACGCGAGCUGGAUUGUGUGAAUGAAGAUGAACGGAGAAUAUUUUGAAGGUCAUCUGGCUUGUGAUUUGAUAGAUCCAGGGGCUAAGGCUCCAUUUCUGGUUAGUCUGUGAAUGUGGGGUUUAUCCCCACCAAUCACCCUAACUUCUCUGGAUUUAAACCCACAGAGCUACCAGCCAUAUUCGGGAGACACUGGGUUCAAGCAAGUGAAUAUAGGUCAAAGAACUCGGAAGGGUUCAAGGAUGAUGGGACAAGAGAAGUGCAAUCCAUUAUCAUUAUCAUUAAUUAUAUUCCAGAUGUGGGAAAGUAUCUCUUGGCAUUCAGAUCCUAGGAAUUGUGUGUGUGUGUGUGUGUGUGUGUGUGUGUCUUUUUAGGGCCGUACCUGUGGCAUAUGGAGGUUCCCAGGCUAGGGGUUGAAUCGGAGCUGCAGCUGCCGGCCUUCGCUAGAGCCACAGGAAUGUGGGAUCCGAGUCAUGUCUGCAGCCCACACCACAGCUCACAGCAAUCUGGAUCCUUAACCCACUGACCGAGACCAGGGAUCAAACCUGCAUUCUCAUGGAUACUAGUUGGGUUCCUUAACCACUGAGUCACGACUCCAAGAUCCUAGGAAUUUUUGAACCUGGAAUCAGACGUGUGCUGGAUGGAUCAUCUGGAAGCAGGCAGAACAGCAAGGACAUUGGAAAAAGUUUGGCUUCACGAAUUUAUCUUCAAGUAUGCAAUCAAAUAAUAUAGAAAAAGGCUGUUUUCAUUUUAGUAUACAUCCAGAUUUUAUAUUUUAUGAUUUUGAUGUUGAUUCAUGUUUGUGGGAAUGGGCGCCAUACUCUUUGCAAAGCUUUGACCCUGGAAAGGAUAGGGCAAUAUUUAAAAUUUCUAGUGACUUCCCAUUCCCCGCCAAACAACCUUCUAGAAACAGCUCAACCUCACUUCAGCUCCCUUUUAUAGGCUGUGAUCAUUGGGAAUCUUCUGAAGUUGGAAAACCGUAGCCUAGCUACGGCAAUGAUUGGUACUGUUACAGUGUCCUUAAGACGUGUGCCAGGCGCAGAGGUUGAGGGCUUUCUCUGCCGUGUCCCCUUAAUCCCGCUGACAGCCCUACCCGGGCAGUUUGCGCAGGAGAGCCUUGAGGCUCAGAAAGAUAAAGUGACUUGGUCAAGGUCACCUUGGGAAUGACGGCUAGAAAUGGAAUUUAAACCCGGUCUGCCUCAUUCCACAGCUCUGGCCCUUGACCAUUCCUCAUGCCGCCUCCUAGAGGCUGGAACCAGAGGGGGCAGAGAGAGGUUCUCAUUCGCAGUCUGCACUUGACAGCGUUCUGUGACAUUAACACGGGACUUGAUUUACUUCCAGAUCCAUGUGGCCAGAUUCUUUGCUCAGGUUCCUGUCACAUACACAUGUGAUAUAAUCUCCUUAAAAGGAAAAGAGAGUUCUUUCAAAAGAUCCAGGAGAAUAUUUAAGCAUCUAUCAAGAAAUGUAGUCUUGCAAAAGUGUUCCUAAAUUAUUGACUUUAUCUUGCUUUGUGGCAUUUGUAACAUUGUUUAGUGCCUAUUGUAUACCAUGCACUCACUGUUCUAGGUCCCAGGGACAUGGGAAUGGGCAAGGCUUUUGGAUAACAAAUGCCUGGGUAAACAAGGAGACAAAUCCCUAAACCAACCAGGGUGACAAAUAGGGAUAAAGUUGAUGAAAGAAGCAAACAGGGCAGCACAACACGGUGACACAGGCAGGGCCGCUCUGGAGAGUUGGGUCAGGGAAACCUCUCUGGGGAGGUGGCUGCUGAGCUGAGAGCUGAAGGUUAGAAGGCUCCAUGCAUCUGGUCAACCAGAGAGCACCACAAAGGCCACCGUCCACAUGGGGAGGAGGGAGAGGCUCUGGACUAGGCUCUGGAGCCAGCCGUGGAGAGGAUGAGGGACCAGCAAGACCAAGAAAGAGCAGCCUGAGGGGAGGAGGACAAGCAGACGUAUCAGGGGCCAGGAAGCCAAGAGAACUGUUUUAAGAAGGAGGGUGUGGCAACUGUGCUUGAGAGACUGUCUCUCAGAUUCAGGAACGUGGAGGCCCCCGGUGACCUCGAGAAGACGAAUUGCAGUGGAAAGCUUGUCAGGCUGUGCAGCGGAGACAAGAGCUGGACUAGUGGGUCAGAGGAACCGUGGGAAGCGAAGUCAGUGCUUCCAAGAAGCUCUGCUAUGGAGGUCGGCAGAGAAAUGGGGCAGAAGCUGAAAGGGCGUUUGGGGUGCCCAGAAGCUGUUCUGGCGGGUCUCCCAUCCAACAAUCCUUUCUCUGCCCACGUUCCGUGCUGGGCUGUGGGAAGGUGACCCUCUUACCGCAUCCCCUGCAUUCUCCUGUUAGAAUGUGCCCGGGUGGGUUCAGCCCAGGGGAGGCAAAGGCAGGAGAGCCAAAGGCUGGAAGAAAGGGAGGUGUCCCACCCCCGCCCCCCGCCUCACUGCUUCCACACCUGGUCUCCAGGGAGGAGCUGUGACCUCUGUGCCGCCAAGUGCUUCCGGGCCACCCACCCCCGUGGCUCUCAGAACAUUAUUUCUUCCCCUGGCCUAUUCUGAGCAAGAAUUUGCCACCCCUCCUGAGCUGGGGCUUGUCUCUGGGUGCCCAGCAUCCUUGUUUUGUCCCUUAAUUUUGUAAGUAGCCCUUCCUUUGAGGUUGGUUGCUUGAAUCAUCUGAGUGAAUUCUCUUUCCUGCUUGGACCCUAACUAACCAAUACAGGGUGUGCUUCCUCUGCCUGCUGGAGGGGAUAGAUCCAGACUCCAGGCAGAAGGCAGCUGGCCUUAGGCUGGUUGCAGGAGGAGAGGCAGGGAGCCCCGGCCCAGGGCAGGGGGGCUGGUAUUUGGUCUGAUGGCGUCUAGUUUCUUAAGGAAGGCUGAACCAAAUCCCUCAGCUGCAGAGUGCAGUGUAGUUUGUAGAGACAGAAGAACGUAUGGAACGGCCACCUCUGAGAAUAGGAAAAUGGACUUUCUAGGAAAGACUGGUAGGCCUGCCAGGCAUGGAGAGUGCCAAUUUGAGGUUUGUGGUCGUGAAUUUAAAGAGCAGCCGUGUGCUUUCCCCCAGCAUCCUUCAGCUGCUCUGGCACGGGCCUGGGGGCGGGUGCUCAGGAGGGCUGGGGCUUCGCCAGGUGUGGACAGAGAAGGGCCGUUUAUGGCGGGGUUACCUGGGGAGCCACAGUCACGUGGAACGUGGAGUCUGCACGGGGCAAGGAGGGAAAGGGGGCCAUGAGCGGUGAUAGUAGGAAAGGUGAUAAUGGACCUGGAUGGGGGACUUGAUGAAGCACAUAGGAGGAGAGGAAGCGGGGCCCUCAGCGGAAGACUUGAAGUGAUGGGGCGAUGGUACAAGAAACCAUAAGCUGGGGGAGCACAUGGUGGGCCCCGAUGGCUCAAGAGGGGCAAGGAUUUGGACAUGGAGGAGGAUAAAUGGUUUGGAUAAUACCGUAACUGGGGGCAAGGUGGGUACCCAUGUCACCUCUUGGCCUCCCCUAGACCAGUUUCGCCAUGCAUCUCCCUGAACAGUCCCCUCCUGCCAGGGGGCCUGAAAAGCCAAUGACAGCUUUGGGGUCUCAGUUUCAAGGCUGAGAAGGCCAUUUGUCAAGUUGGCUCCUUCUUGCAACCUGAUCCAGAGCUGGUUCUGACCACGUUGCGCUUGGGGUGGUGAUGGAACUACAAGCUCGGGGCGGGGGGUGGGGGUAAAACACUUGCCCAAGGUCGUAGAGAGUCUGUUUGAAUCCACAAAGGCUGACUCUCCAGGCAGGGACACAGGCAGAGAAAGAACCAAAGAAAAGUGAUGCUGCAGAACCCUCUGGGAAUAUGGAAGUUAGAAAGAUUUCUUCUGUUGUGGGAGGGGGAGGCAGGAGGCUAGAGCUAGAGCUGCAGGAUGAACAGAAAUGCGUGCGGAGGAGUUCCCGUCUUGACUCAGUGGUAGUGACCCCAACUAGUAUCCAUGAGGAUGCAGGUUUGAUCCCUGGCCUCGCUCAGUGAGUUAAGGAUCUGGUGUUGCUGCGAGCUGUGGUGUAGGUCACAGACGAGACUCAGAUCCUGUGUUGCUGAGGCUGUGAUGCAGGCCUGCAGCUGUAGCUCUGAUUGGACCCCUAGCCUGGGAACUUCCACAUGCCUUGGGUGUGGCCCUCAAAAGACAAAAGACAAAAAAUAAAAAUAAAAAAGAAAGAAAUGCACGUGGGAGUUCCCAUUGUGGUUCAGCGGUUAACGAACUCAGCUAGUAUCCAUGAGGAUGUGGGUUCGAUUCCUGGCCUUGUUCAGUGGGUAAAGGAUCCAGCAUUGCCAUGAGCUGUGGUGUAGGUCGCAGAUGUGGCUUGGAUUUGGCCUUGCUGUGGCUGUGAUGUAGGCCAGUGGCUACAGCCUCAACUGGACCCCUAGCCUGGGGAC
ensembl:lncRNA